AUUAGACGAAUCAUCUGGAAAGAUGAAUCAAAGAAGGUAAUAAUCCUGUAGUCGAAAAUGUUGUCUCUCUUGAGUGGAUCCUGAGUACGACGGAGCACGUGAAAUUCCGUCGGAAUCUGGGAGGACCAUCUCCUAAGGCUAAAUACUCUCUAGUGACCGAUAGUGAACCAGUACCGUGAGGGAAAGGUGAAAAGCACCCCGGAAGGGGAGUGAAAUAGAACCUGAAACCGUGUGCUUACAAGUAGUCAGAGCCCGUUAAUGGGUGAUGGCGUGCCUUUUGUAGAAUGAACCGGCGAGUUACGAUUUGAUGCAAGGUUAAGCAGUAAAUGUGGAGCCGUAGCGAAAGCGAGUCUGAAUAGGGCGUUUAGUAUUUGGUCGUAGACCCGAAACCAGGUGAUCUACCCUUGGUCAGGUUGAAGUUCAGGUAACACUGAAUGGAGGACCGAACCGACUUACGUUGAAAAGUGAGCGGAUGAACUGAGGGUAGCGGAGAAAUUCCAAUCGAACCUGGAGAUAGCUGGUUCUCUCCGAAAUAGCUUUAGGGCUAGCCUCAAGUGAUGAUUAUUGGAGGUAGAGCACUGUUUGGACGAGGGGCCCCUCUCGGGUUACCGAAUUCAGACAAACUCCGAAUGCCAAUUAAUUUAACUUGGGAGUCAGAACAUGGGUGAUAAGGUCCGUGUUCGAAAGGGAAACAGCCCAGACCACCAGCUAAGGUCCCAAAAUAUAUGUUAAGUGGAAAAGGAUGUGGCGUUGCCCAGACAACUAGGAUGUUGGCUUAGAAGCAGCCAUCAUUUAAAGAGUGCGUAAUAGCUCACUAGUCGAGUGACACUGCGCCGAAAAUGUACCGGGGCUAAACAUAUUACCGAAGCUGUGGAUUGUCCUUUGGACAAUGGUAGGAGAGCGUUCUAAGGGCGUUGAAGCAUGAUCGUAAGGACAUGUGGAGCGCUUAGAAGUGAGAAUGCCGGUGUGAGUAGCGAAAGACGGGUGAGAAUCCCGUCCACCGAUUGACUAAGGUUUCCAGAGGAAGGCUCGUCCGCUCUGGGUUAGUCGGGUCCUAAGCUGAGGCCGACAGGCGUAGGCGAUGGAUAACAGGUUGAUAUUCCUGUACCACCUA
rnacentral:rRNA from 1 species